rnacentral:misc_RNA from 1 species
GGAGAGGAUACUUUUGGACCAAGUUACUCUGUGAUUGGCUGAUUUUUUAAACAUAAAAGAAAUUCAAAAAUUCCAUUUUAUUAUAAGUGAAGUUCCUAUUCCAAGCUCAAGAAGGGGAGCGAGAGAAAGAAAGGAGCAGGCAAGGCAUGGAGACGAAGGAGAUGAAGACAGAGACAUGGUUCAAAUCCAAGAAUGGAAGUGUGUUUCCGAAGAAGAGAAGACUUGUUAAGCGCAUGAUUUUUGAUUUCUUGGUCCAAUCUUUUGCUUCCUGUUUCUCUUGUUCUUCUGGAGCUGCUCAUGAUCAACCCAACAAGCCCAGCUGCCUCAGAAGCAACAAGUUUUCUGCAAAAGUAUCAAAUGUUAGCUGAGCUUUUAUAUUCUUCCUGAUUUUUGUUGUAUCUAAUUUUGAUCCUUUCAAUAAAUUUAAGAUCCAAUGUUGGGGCUUUGUUUUAGUUUGGGCUCUGAAUAUAAUAUGUAAUUAAUUUCUCUGUAAUACCACUUUUCUCUUCCUUUCUGUGAUUCUGUGACUGGUUUUUCUCUGAAGUUAGCAUUCCUUGCAAUUCUCAAUCUGAAAAAUUUGGGAAUAGAGGUUUUAUCACUUGUGGAAUAUCCA